rnacentral:rRNA from 1 species
UACGUAGGCAGCAAGCGUUGUUCGGAGUUACUGGGCGUAAAGAGUGUGUAGGCGGUGCUUUAAGUUUGGUGUGAAAUCUCCCGGCUCAACCGGGAGGGUGCGCCGAAGACUGGAGUGCUUGGAGUGUGGGAGAGGAAAGCGGAAUUCCCGGUGUAGCGGUGAAAUGCGUAGGUAUCGGGAGGAACACCUGCGGUGCAGACGGCUUUCUGGACCAUGACUGACGCUGAGACACGAAAGCGUGGGUAGCCAACAGG